rnacentral:rRNA from 1 species
UCGGGGACCGUGUCUGGUGGGUAGUUUGACUGGGGCGGUCUCCUCCUAAAGAGUAACGGAGGAGCACGAAGGUUGGCUAAGCAUGGUCGGACAUCAUGCGGUUAGUGCAAAGGCAUAAGCCAGCUUGACUGUGAGAGUGACGGCUCGAGCAGGUACGAAAGUAGGUCUUAGUGAUCCGGUGGUUCUGAAUGGAAGGGCCAUCGCUCAACGGAUAAAAGGUACUCCGGGGAUAACAGGCUGAUACCGCCCAAGAGUUCAUAUCGACGGCGGUGUUUGGCACCUCGAUGUCGGCUCAUCACAUCCUGGGGCUGAAGUAGGUCCCAAGGGUAUGGCUGUUCGCCAUUUAAAGUGGUACGCGAGCUGGGUUUAGAACGUCGUGAGACAGUUCGGUCCCUAUCUGCCGUGGGCGUUGGAAGAUUGAGAGGGGUUGCUCCUAGUACGAGAGGACCGGAGUGAACGCACCACUGGUGUUCGGGUUGUCAUGCCAAUGGCAUUGCCCGGUAGCUAAGUGCGGAAGAGAUAACCGCUGAAAGCAUCUAAGCGGGAAACUUGCCUCGAGAUGAGUCUUCCCUGUCACCUAGAGUGACCUAAAGGAACGUUUAAGACUAAGACGUUGAUAGGCUGGGUGUGUAAGCGUAGCGAUACGUUGAGCUAACCAGUACUAAUGAACCGUGAGGCUUAACCUG